UGGGGAAUCUUGCACAAUGGGGGCAACCCUGAUGCAGCGACGCCGCGUGAGCGAUGAAGCCCUUCGGGGCGUAAAGCUCUUUCGACCGGAACGAUAAUGACGGUACCGGGAGAAGAAGCUGCGGCUAACUACGUGCCAGCAGCCGCGGUAAUACGUAGGCAGCAAGCGUUGUUCGGAGUUACUGGGCGUAAAGAGUGCGUAGGCGGUUUUCUAAGUUCGGUGUGAAGUCUCCCGGCUUAACUGGAAGGGUGCGCCGAAGACUGGGAAGCUGGAGUGUGGGAAAGGCAGGCGGAAUUCCUGGUGUAGCGGUGAAAUGCGUAGAUAUCAGGAGGAACACCGGCGGUGUAGACGGCUUGCUAGACCAUAACUGACGCUGAGGCACGAAAGCGUGGGUAGCAAACA
rnacentral:rRNA from 1 species